rnacentral:rRNA from 1 species
GAUGAACGCUGGCGGCGUGCCUAAUACAUGCAAGUCGAGCGAAGCGGGGUCGGGUGAGUAACCCGUGGAUAACCUCCUAUAAGACUGUGCUAACUUCGGUAACCCGGCGCUAAACCGCAUACUUAUAGAUGGAUCUGCGCUGCAUUAGCUAGUUGGUAAGGUAACGGCUUACCAAGGCAACGAUGCAUCGCCGACCUGAGAGGGUGAUCGGCCACACGGGAACUGAGAAACGGUCCAGACGCCUACGGGAGGCAGCAGUAGGGAAUAUUGCGCAAUGGGGGAAGGCCUGACGGAGCAACGCCGCGUGAGUGAUGAAGGUCUGCGGCUCGUAAAACUCUGUUAUUAGGGAAGCGGUACCUAAUCAGAAAGCCACGGCUAACUACGUGCCAGCAGCCGCGGUAAUAC